rnacentral:rRNA from 1 species
UGGGGAAUAUUGCACAAUGGGGGAAACCCUGAUGCAGCGACGCCGCGUGAGCGAAGAAGGCUUUCGAGUCGUAAAGCUCUGUCCUAUGAGAAGAUAAUGACGGUAUCAUAGGAGGAAGCCCUGGCUAAAUACGUGCCAGCAGCCGCGGUAAUACGUAUGGGGCGAGCGUUGUCCGGAAUUAUUGGGCGUAAAGGGUACGUAGGCGGUUUUUUAAGUCAGGUGUCAAAGCGUGGAGCUUAACUCCAUUAAGCACUUGAAACUGAAAGACUUGAGUGCAGGAGAGAAAAGUGGAAUUCCUAGUGUAGCGGUGAAAUGCGUAGAGAUUAGGAGGAACACCGGUGGCGAAAGCGGCUUUUUGGCCUGCAACUGACACUGAGGCGCGAAAGCGUGGGGAGCAAACAGG